ACUCAAAUGAAUAGACGGGGGCCCGCACAAGCGGUGGAGCAUGUGGUUUAAUUCGACGCAACGCGAAGAACCUUACCUAGGCUUGACAUGCAUGGGAAACUUUCGAGAAACCGAGAGCCCUCUUCGGAGUCCAUGCACAGGUGCUGCAUGGCUGUCGUCAGCUCGUGUCGUGAGAUGUUGGGUUAAGUCCCGCAACGAGCGCAACCCCCGUUCCUAGUUGCCAGCGGAUCAUGCCGGGGACUCUAGGAAGACUGCCGGUGCCAAACCGGAGGAAGGUGGGGAUGACGUCAAGUCAUCAUGGUCCUUACGUCUAGGGCUACACACGUGCUACAAUGGCCGGUACAGAGGGUUGCGAGCUCGCGAGAGCAAGCCAAUCCCAGAAAGCCGGCCUCAGUGCGGAUUGGAGGCUGCAACUCGCCUCCAUGAAGCUGGAAUCGCUAGUAAUCGUGGAUCAGCUACGCCACGGUGAAUACGUUCCCGGGCCUUGUACACACCGCCCGU
rnacentral:rRNA from 1 species